rnacentral:rRNA from 1 species
ACGGGUGAGUAAUGUCUGGGGAUCUGCCCGUUAGAGGGGGAUAACCACUGGAAACGGUGGCUAAUACCGCAUAACGUCGCAAGACCAAAGAGGGGGACCUUCGGGCCUCUCACUAUCGGAUGAACCCAGAUGGGAUUAGCUAGUAGGCGGGGUAACGGCCCACCUAGGCGACGAUCCCUAGCUGGUCUGAGAGGAUGACCAGCCACACUGGAACUGAGACACGGUCCAGACUCCUACGGGAGGCAGCAGUGGGGAAUAUUGCACAAUGGGCGCAAGCCUGAUGCAGCCAUGCCGCGUGUAUGAAGAAGGCCUUCGGGUUGUAAAGUACUUUCAGCGGGGAGGAAGGCGAUAAGGUUAAUAACCUUGUCGAUUGACGUUACCCGCAGAAGAAGCACCGGCUAACUCCGUGCCAGCAGCCGCGGUAAUACGGAGGGUGCGAGCGUUAAUCGGAAUUACUGGGCGUAAAGCGCACGCAGGCGGUCUGUUAAGUCAGAUGUGAAAUCCCCGGGCUUAACCUGGGAACUGCAUUUGAAACUGGCAGGCUUGAGUCUCGUAGAGGGGGGUAGAAUUCCAGGU